rnacentral:rRNA from 1 species
ACGAACGCUGGCGGCGUGCUUAACACAUGCCAGUCGAACGGUGAAGGGAUCAGCUUGCUGGUUCUGGAUGAGUGGCGAACGGGUGAGUAACACGUGAGUAACCUGCCCCCUUCUUCUGGAUAACCGCAUGAAAGUGUGGCUAAUACGGGAUAUUCUGCGCCUGCUGCAUGGUGGGUGUGGGAAAGAUAUUGUUUCGGUGGGGGAUGGGCUCGCGGCCUAUCAGCUUGUUGGUGGGGUGAUGGCCUACCAAGGCGGUGACGGGUAGCCGGCCUGAGAGGGUGGACGGUCACACUGGGACUGAGACACGGCCCAGACUCCUACGGGAGGCAGCAGUGGGGAAUAUUGCACAAUGGGCGCAAGCCUGAUGCAGCGACGCCGCGUGAGGGAGGGAGGCCUUCGGGGUGUGAACCUCUUUCGCCAGUGAAGCAGGCCUGUCCCUUGUGGGUGGGUUGACGGUAGCUGGAUAAGAAGCGCCGGCUAACUACGUG